rnacentral:rRNA from 1 species
UACGUAGGGUGCGAGCGUUAAUCGGAAUUACUGGGCGUAAAGCGUGCGUAGGUGGUUCGUUAAGUCUGAUGUGAAAGCCCUGGGCUCAACCUGGGAAUGGCAUUGGAAACUGGCGACCUAGAGUGCGGUAGAGGGCAGUGGAAUUCCCGGUGUAGCAGUGAAAUGCGUAGAGAUCGGGAGGAACAUCUGUGGCGAAGGCGACUGCCUGGACCAGCACUGACACUGAGGCACGAAAGCGUGGGGAGCGAACAGG